GGGUUGUGAGGUUAAGCGACUAAGCGUACACGGUGGAUGCCCUGGCAGUCAGAGGCGAUGAAGGGCGUGCUAAUCUGCGAUAAGCGCCGGUAAGGUGAUAUGAACCGUUAUAACCGGCGAUACCCGAAUGGGGAAACCCAGUGUGAYUCGUCACACUAUCAUUAACUGAAUCCAUAGGUUAAUGAGGCGAACCGGGGGAACUGAAACAUCUAAGUACCCCGAGGAAAAGAAAUCAACCGAGAUUCCCCCAGUAGCGGCGAGCGAACGGGGAGGAGCCCAGAGCCUGAAUCAGCAUGUGUGUUAGUGGAAGCGUC
rnacentral:rRNA from 1 species